rnacentral:rRNA from 1 species
GACAGAGGCCUCGAGCGUUAGGCGGAAUCACUGGGCUUAAAGCGUGUGUAGGCGGAAGAGUAAGUACCUUGUGAAAUCCCACGGCUCACCCGUGGAACCGCUGGGUAUACUGCUCUUCUUGGGCCACUCAGGGGCGACUGGAACAAGCGGUGGAGCGGUGAAAUGCGUAGAUAUCGCUUGGAACGCCAAUGGUGAAAACAGGUUGCUGGGAGUGUGCUGACGCUGAGGCGCGAAAGCUAGGGUAGCAAACGGG